rnacentral:rRNA from 1 species
UAGGGAAUAUUGCUCAAUGGGGGAAACCCUGAAGCUGCAACGCCGCGUGGAGGAUGAAGGUUUUCGGAUUGUAAACUCCUUUUGUUAGAGAAGAUAAUGACGGUAUCUAACGAAUAAGCACCGGCUAACUCCGUGCC